ACGGGAGGCAGCAGUGAGGAAUAUUGGUCAAUGGGCGGAAGCCUGAACCAGCCAAGUAGCGUGCAGGAUGACGGCCCUAUGGGUUGUAAACUGCUUUUAUACGGGAAUAAAUGGCUUCACGUGUGGGGUUUUGCAUGUACCGUAUGAAUAAGGACCGGCUAAUUCCGUGCCAGCAGCCGCGGUAAUACGGAAGGUCCGGGCGUUAUCCGGAUUUAUUGGGUUUAAAGGGAGCGUAGGCGGCCUUUUAAGCGUGUUGUGAAAUGUCCCGGCUCAACCGUGGCACUGCAGCGCGAACUGGAGGGCUUGAGUGCGCCGGAAGUAGGCGGAAUUCGUUGUGUAGCGGUGAAAUGCUUAGAUAUGACGAAGAACUCCGAUUGCGAAGGCAGCUUACUGUCGCGUAACUGACGCUGAAGCUCGAAAGUGCGGGUAUCGAACAGGAUUAGAUACCCUGGUA
rnacentral:rRNA from 1 species